rnacentral:lncRNA from 1 species
GUGACUUCGGCCAUCGCUCUGGUAGUCCCGGUAGCUGACGAACUCCUGCCAAGGGCAGCGGUAGCCCUUGGAGAUGGCGGUGUGGUUGAACUUCUCUGGCGGGACGCCCUUCAGCGGCUCCGCAUAGCCUAGGGGCGCGGGGGGAAGGGAGCGCCUCCGUUCUUCCACCCUCAGCCCCCAACCCCACCUCGCCCCACCCCCAUUCCGCGGACGCGGUUGGAGGAGGGAAGAUCGGAGUUAGGGGAGAGGACGGCGGGAAUGGGAAGCCACAGUUGCUCCAGCACAGGAGACCCCUCCCCAUCCCAGGAAACACGGAGGACUGCAGUGAGGAAGCCACGAGUUCGCAGCGCGGGGAGAGAUGCCUAAAAAGAUAACACUUUUCAAGGAUCACACUGAAAGGCAGGAGCCUAAUCUGAUGGGAACAUCACAGUCCUCAGCCUGGCUUACCGUUUGACUUUAGGCUAACCAGUGGCUCUCUGUGGUCCUCAUUUUCCCCAUGAGC